rnacentral:lncRNA from 1 species
CCGCGCCCCGCGCGCUGCGCCAGCCUCGCCAGCUGUCGGGCGGCCUUCAUUCCGGGAGGGGGCGGGCGAGGCGCCGCCUCGAGCCGUGGCGCUCAUUGGCUGCAGACCAGAGCCCCCCGGCGCCUCGGGCGCCGCUCCGGACGCUGAUUGGUGGGAACACGGGGAGGGGGCGUGUUCUCCGCGCAGCUGGGAGGAGUCUGGAAUGAAACAGAUGGAAACAGCCAGUCUGUGAACGUUUCUUCAGGUAUCCGGCAGAGACAGCUGGGAAGGGAAACUUAUUCCUUGGCAUCUGCACAAAGGCCUCCCUGGGGCUUGGUGCUCCCCAUCCCCGCCACACACAUACAGCAUGGAUUUGAUUCUCCUGGGCCAGUGAGAAGAGCAACGCCAAGAUGUAAUUAAAGAUUUUGAGAUGAAGUGGUCAUCCUGAUUAUCCAAGUGAGCCUGAAAUCCAAUGACACAUGUCCUGAUAAAGGACACACAGAGGAAAAGACAGAAACAUGGAUGAAAAGGCAAAGUGAAGACAGAGCAAAGCCGUCCAAGCCAAGGAAUGCUGAUGGCACUAGAAGCUGGAAGAGGCAAGAAAGGAGCCUCUCCUAGGGCCUUCAGAGGGAGCGUGGCCCUGCUGACACUGCCGACACCUGGAUUUCGACUUCUGGCCUCCAGAACUGAAGGACCAUGUAAGAACAUAGCAAGAAGGCAGCCAUCUGCAGACCAGGAAGAGAGACCCCACCACAACCCAACCAUACCAGCACCCUGAUCUUGGGUUUCCAUAACUAUGAAAAAAUAAACUUCUGUUGUUUAAGCU